UACGUAGGCAGCAAGCGUUGUUCGGAGUUACUGGGCGUAAAGGGUGCGUAGGCGGUCCUAUAAGUAUGGUGUGAAAUCUCCCGGCUUAACUGGGAGGGUGCGCUAUAGACUGUGGGACUAGAGUGUGGGAGAGGAAAGUGGAAUUCCUGGUGUAGCGGUGAAAUGCGUAGAUACCAAGAGGAACACCUGAGGUGAAGACGGGUUGCUGGGCCGACACUGACGCUGAGUGCGCGAAAGCCAGGGGAGCAAACGGG
rnacentral:rRNA from 1 species